GACGAACGCUGGCGGCGUGCUUAACACAUGCAAGUCGAACGGAAAGGCCCUGCUUGCCGGGUGCUCGAGUGGCGAACGGGUGAGUAACACGUGGGUGAUCUGCCCCUUACUUUGGGAUAAGCCUGGGAAACUGGGUCUAAUACUGGAUAGGACCAUGCUGUAGGUGGUGUGGUGGAAAGAUUUUUUCGGUAAGGGAUGAGCUCGCGGCCUAUCAGCUUGUUGGUGGGGUAAUGGCCUACCAAGGCGUCGACGGGUAGCCGGCCUGAGAGGGUGGACGGCCACAUUGGGACUGAGAUACGGCCCAGACUCCUACGGGAGGCAGCAGUGGGGAAUAUUGCACAAUGGGCGCAAGCCUGAUGCAGCGACGCCGCGUGGGGGAUAACGGCCUUCGGGUUGUAAACUCCUUUCAGCCAUGACGAAGCCUCUGUUGGGGUGACGGUAGUGGUAGAAGAAGCACCGGCUAACUACGUG
rnacentral:rRNA from 1 species